UCAGAAUGAACCAAUUAAUACAAUCGCUAGGUGCCCUCCUGUAGUACCUCUGUGAGGUUUGAAGGACUUGCCCUGAUGAACCUCCACUUCCCUGUAAUUCCCUAUAAGAUCUGCAGCACAAAGCUGUGAAGGUGCUGGUCAGGGGUGGAAUGCAACUGAUGCUGUCACCAGACUCUAAUCCCAAUAUCUCCCAGAUAUUCCACAGAUACCACAUUCUAACCAGAAUAAUCUGCAUCAUCUAAAGGGUUUAUGAUAUGUGGCUGUGGGACUGGACCAAUAUGAGCCCACAGAAGCCUGCAUACUUGGAACCACUUGGUGGGAUCAAUGUCAUUAGGAGACACAACUAUAAAUGCUGUCAUUCAACCCAGCUUGAAUGAAUAACAAAGAACAUGCUCCAGGAGGAUAAAGAACAGAGCAUCUCCUUGGCUUCCACAUUAAGGACUCAGAAAUUUCUAACACUUUACAAGAGGGAGGAGUGAACAGCAAGUGGUUUGGAAAUCACAAAUUUGUAGGAGCUCAGCAAGUGCUACUUAGGUCUAAGGGACACAGGGCAGGUUUGGAUUAAGAAAUGACACCAGUUUGGGGCCGGGCGCAGUGGCUCACGCCUGUAAUCCCAGCACUUUGGGAGGCCGAGGCAGGCGGAUCAUGAGGUCAGGAGAUCGAGACCAUCCUGGCUAACAUGGUGAAACCCCAUCUCUACUAAAAAUACAAAAACAAAGUUAGCCAGGCAUGGUGGCAGGCACCUGUAUUCCCAGCUACUCUCAAGACUGAGGCAGGAGAAUGGCAUGAACCGGGGAGGCAGAGGUUGCAGUGAGCCGAGAUCGCACCACUGCGCUCCAGCCUGG
rnacentral:lncRNA from 1 species